rnacentral:rRNA from 1 species
UACGGAGGGUGCAAGCGUUAUCCGGAUUUACUGGGUUUAAAGGGUGUGUAGGCGGGCUUUAAGUCAGUGGUGAAAUCUCCGGGCUCAACCUGGAAACUGCCAUUGAUACUAUUAGUCUUGAAUUUUGUUGAGGUAGGCGGAAUAAGUCAUGUAGCGGUGAAAUGCAUAGAUAUGACUAGAACACCAAUUGCGAAGGCAGCUUGCUAAACAAAUAUUGACGCUGAGGCACGAAAGCGUGGGAUCAAACAGG